rnacentral:rRNA from 1 species
UGUGAAUUUUGUGACUGUGAAGAGAGUGUGAAUCAUUUAUUUUUCUCUUGUUCCUUAGCUAAGUUCCUGUGGAAUAUUGUGGGAUGUGCUCUAGGGAACCAGAGAGCUCCAAUGUAUUCUUUUGACCUAUGCCAGAACUGGUUGUCUAGCUAUACUGGCAAAGAUAGAGUAGUUGUUUUAUUGGGUACUGCAGCUCUCUUGUGGUCUAUAUGGAAAACAAGGAACAAAUCCUGUUUUCAAAGUGUUAUGCCUAGAGAUCUUACUGCCAUUAUCUUUCUUGUUUGUUCCCUACUUGACUCUUGGAAAAAUCUGCAAAAAAGAGGGGUGCAAAGCAUGCUUCAUCAGGUGUCUAGACGUAUCGUGGGGGUGACUUGUGAUAUCUUCAGAGGAGGGCAUGGUUUGGCGCCGCAUGUGAGAAGGAUUUUGUGA